rfam:Schistosoma rodhaini strain Burundi genome assembly, scaffold: SROB_scaffold0007987
GCACUGCUGAGAAGUCCAAUAAUAGGACGAAAUGGCCGUCCAGUGC